UGGGGAAUUUUGGGCAAUGGGGGAAACCCUGACCCAGCAACGCCGCGUGAAGGAUGAAGUAUUUCGGUAUGUAAACUUCGAAAGAAUAGGAAGAAUAAAUGACGGUACUAUUUAUAAGGUCCGGCUAACUACGUGCCAGCAGCCGCGGUAAUACGUAGGGACCAAGCGUUGUUCGGAUUUACUGGGCGUAAAGGGCGCGUAGGCGGCAUGACAAGUCACUUGUGAAAUCUCUGGGCUUAACCCAGAACGGCCAAGUGAUACUGUCGCGCUAGUGUGGCAGAGGGGGGUGGAAUUCCACGUGUAGCAGUGAAAUGCGUAGAGAUGUGGAGGAACACCGAUGGCGAAGGCAGCCCCCUGGGUCAACACUGACGCUCAUGCACGAAAGCGUGGGGAGCAAACAGGAUUAGAUACCCAGGUAGUCCCUGAGCGGGCUGGCAAGGCGCAU
rnacentral:rRNA from 1 species